GACAGAGGGUGCAAACGUUGUUCGGAUUUACUGGGCGUAAAGGGCGCGUAGGCGGCGCAACAAGUCACUUGUGAAAUCUCCGGGCUUAACCCGGAGCGGUCAAGUGAUACUGUCGUGCUAGAGUGCGGAAGGGGCUACUGGAAUUCUCGGUGUAGCGGUGAAAUGCGUAGAUAUCGAGAGGAACACCUGCGGCGAAGGCGGGUAGCUGGGCCGACACUGACGCUGAUGCGCGAAAGCCAGGGGAGCGAACGGG
rnacentral:rRNA from 1 species